UGUCACUGUACCGGGGGCUGCAACGUGGACAGCACCCCUCACUUCUAAGUUCAACUGCAGACUGGAUGGUGAAGGGCAGAAGCUGAGGAGGUGGAAGUGCAGAUUUGGAGCCUCUGCCAGUGGCAUGAAGGUGAUCUAAAAUAACAAGAGGACAGAGAGUGAACAGCAGCUGAAUUGUAUCAAAGCCUCUGGACCCGACAGGACCCUAUAACUCUUAUUAACUGAAUUGGAUGGAGCUAAAAUAAAGACAUAAACAUCCUAAAUCA
rnacentral:lncRNA from 1 species